rnacentral:lncRNA from 1 species
CGGACUUCGAAAAAUGCAUUCCGAUCACGCUCCUAAGUCUUAAAUCACCUAACAAAGCUAACCAAAUCAUAAAAAAUCUGAUCCGAGAUCAUAUACAAACAAGUCAAAUCUUGAUCAAACCUUUCAAAUUUCAAGCUUCAAACUGAGAACUGUUCUCCCAAAUUCAUUCCGAUUACCCUGAAAACCAAAACCAACGAUUUACAUAAGUCAUAAUACAUUACGCGAAGCAAGUCAUGCCCGAGAACUGGCGAGCAAAGUGCAAGAGCUCAAAAUGACCGAUUGGGUCAUUACAUGUUUAAAAUCCCGAAUCGAGGAAAUUUGACUCUAUUUACGGUCUGCGAACACAGAAAUCCAGGUAAGUAAUUUUGUUAACCCGGGAGAAGGUGUUAGGCAUUUCUGAGUUCCGUGGUUCUAGCACGGUCGCUUUGAUCAUACUUGGCUUAAUAGAAUUGUCCAAUUACUGAUUUUAAAACCUAUGUGCAUUUGCCUCUUUUAAUUAGUAAAUUAUCUUGAAACGGGUCACGCGCACUUGUACUCAUUUCAUUUGGCGCGUAAAAAAUUAUUUCAUGCGUAUGUGUCCACAAUUAAUCAUGCUUUAUUUUAUUAAGAAAUAUUUGUCAAAGUUGCACGAACACAUACUCCGGGUUUGUUUUUAGAUAGAUUAAGUCGCGCUUAAAGCAUUUUCUACAAAUAUUCAUCUUAGAAACCGUAAUCAUGUCACGCGAACGUAUACAUAAUAAUGAUAAUAAAUUAGUAUCAAUACACAAAUAGUACAAGAGAACCCCUUUUUAGGAUCAACAUAUUUUAAUUAAAUGUUCACAAGGUACGAUUAAACAACUAAAGUUCUUCCAAUCAAAUGUUCACAAGGUACGAUUCUUGGAUUCUAGUGAACCAAAGCCCUAUUGUAAAUCAAGAACUUGAUAUGCAAAGAAAUUAAUAUAAAUUAAAUCAUGAAACAAUCGAAUGAAAUCCCAAUUAAGCCAAAAGAGAAAUUUACCCCCCCCCCCCCCCCCGCCCUCCCAAAAAAAAAUAGCUAAAGGAACUGACCUAGUUGAGCAUUAAGACCAUAACGCCUACUACCACUUUAUUGCUGAAAUUUCAAGCAGGUACAACAAAAAAGAAGCUCCAAAACAGUAACCCCAAACCAGUUAUGGACUAGAAACUAGAACUGGAAUCACAACCUCGAACAUACCCAGCUCGACCGACUGAUUUUCAUAUUGGUUCAGGGUGGUUUUUCGAUUGUUUAAGACUAGUUUUGAAGGUGACAAUAGGGAAGGACGCAUGCUAGUGGUUGCCGAAUUAAUUUUUUCGGUCAGCUCGUAAGUAAAUUUUCGGCAAGACCUGAAUUUCACAUAACAGCAAAUAAACAACAAAAGUAACGGAAGUGAGAUUGAAACCAGUGGUUAUUAGCUCGUUUUUGUCUCUUCACUUUCGUUUUCUUUUCUUUUCCGCAAGUUGCUGCUAAUUUCCUUUAGACCUUUGGUUGCUAGGUUCAGGGAGAUGGGAUGGUCAAUUUUUGAAGGUUAGAGAUGGGUUUUUCUUCACUAAUGGAGAAAGGGGGAACGACUGAAGCUUUAUCUUUUUGGUAGAGAUUUUCGGUUCGUUCAUUUCUCUCUUCUGAAGAAGACGAUGAUAGGGGGCGUGGGGUCUUCUUUUUAGAAAAUGGCGGAUUGUCCUUGUCCCUAGUUUUAGGCGUUAGGUUUGUUUCUAGCUUGUAUCUUCAGCUGAUUUUUAGAGAUUUUUG